rnacentral:rRNA from 1 species
CGCCUACAUGAAGCUGGAAUUGCUAGUAAUCACAGGUCAGCAUACUGUGGUGAAUACGUUCCCGGGCCUUGUACACACCGCCCGUCACACCAUGAGAGUUGAGAAUACCCGAAGCCCAUGUCAAAGUGGUCGAAGGUAGGCUUGAUGAUUGGGGUGAAGUCGUAACAAGGUACC